AAGUUUGAUCAUGGCUCAGAACGAACGCUGGCGGCAUGCCUAACACAUGCAAGUCGAACGCUCGUAGCAAUACGGGAGUGGCAGACGGGUGCGUAACGCGUGGGAACCCUGCCCAGAGGUUCGGAAUAACUGCGGGAAACUGCAGCUAAUACCGAAUGUUGCCUGAGGGCUAAAGGAGUAAUUCGCCUUUGGAGGGGCCCGCGUCCGAUUAGCUAGUUGGUGGGGUAAUGGCCUACCAAGGCGACGAUCGGUAGCUGGUCUGAGAGGAUGACCAGCCACACUGGAACUGAGACACGGUCCAGACUCCUACGGGAGGCAGCAGUGGGGAAUAUUGGACAAUGGGGGAAACCCUGAUCCAGCAAUGCCGCGUGGGUGAUGAAGGCCUUCGGGUUGUAAAGCCCUUUUGGCGGGGACGAUGAUGACGGUACCCACAGAAUAAGCCCCGGCUAACUUCGUG
rnacentral:rRNA from 1 species